rnacentral:rRNA from 1 species
CCUACGGGAGGCUGCAGUAGGGAAUAUUGCUCAAUGGGGGAAACCCUGAAGCAGCAACGCCGCGUGGAGGAUGAAGGUUUUAGGAUUGUAAACUCCUUUUGGGAGAGAAGAGAAUGACGGUAGCUCACGAAUAAGCACCGGCUAACUCCGUGCCAGCAGCUGCGGUAAUACGGAGGGUGCAAGCGUUCCUCGGAAUCACUGGGCGGAAAGAGUGCGGAGGCGGGCUUGUAAGUCAGAUGUGAAAUCCUGUAGCUUAACUACAGAACUGCAUUUGAAACUAUGAGUCUAGAGUGUGGGAGAGGUAGGUGGACUUCUUGUUGUAGUGGUCAAAUCCGUAGAUAUCCCGAGGACUCCUCAUUGCGCCGGCGACCUACUGGACCAUUCCUGACGCUCAUGCACGAAAGCGUGGGGAGCACACCGGCUUCGCUACCCCAGUAGUC